rnacentral:rRNA from 1 species
GUUGUAUGGUUAAGUGACUAAGCGUACACGGUGGAUGCCUUGGCAGUCAGAGGCGAUGAAAGACGUAGUAACUUGCGAUAAGCCCAGAUUAGGUAGUAACAACCAUUUGAGUCUGGGAUUUCUGAAUGGGGAAACCCACGUGCAUAAGCACGUAUCCUUACCUGAAUACAUAGGGUAAGGAGGCGAACCGGGGGAACUGAAACAUCUAAGUACCCCGAGGAAAAGAAAUCAACCGAGAUUCCGAAAGUAGCGGCGAGCGAAAUUGGACUAGCCCUUAAGCUUUACACGCGUUAGACGAACGGUCUGGAAAGUCCGACGAUACAGGGUGAUAGUCCCGUAGUUGACGACGUGUGUUCAGUGAAAUCGAGUAGGGCGGGACACGUGAUAUCCUGUCUGAAUAUGGGGGG